GGUUCUCAGGUUCAGGUUCUGCUGGACUCUGUGCUGUUUGGUGUAUUUUUCACUUUAAAUGGACCAGGAUUCAGGGAUCUGGAAUUUUCUCCUGUAUCAUUUGACUGUGCUGGAACAUGAGGAUCAGACUCCAGAGUCCAGAGUGACUGAACCGAUCAUUUUCACACUCCAUUAAAACCUGUUUUCUUUAUUCAUGAAUCAAAAGCCUUUGAAACUGGAGUAAAGUUACAAACAUGAUGCAGUAAAGGUUUACAGGAGCUUCAGAAAACUGUUUACAACCUAAAGUAAAUCAACUGUACAAACAUGUCCCAGAGUCACGUUAGACAGGAAAACUUCCAGAAAGUGUUUGUUUGACUCUGAAGUGAGGAAGAAGCUGAGGAAGCUGAGGAAGAUGAGGAAGAUGAGGAAGAUGCGUGUGUGUGUUUAAUCAGAGUGAUAACAUUUAGAGCCGCUCCAGAUCCAGAUCUUUAAACCAUUAAAACUCUUACA